CUCCCUCCCUCCUCGGUGCUCCCGCCGUCCUCCCGCCGCGACCCCUCACCAUGCGUCGACCGCGCCCGGGAUGCCUGUAGGCAGCCGCUGCGCUGCGCUCCCCCUCGGCGGUGCGUGGCCGGGCCCCGCCUGACGCACACAUACACACGCGCGCGCGCGGGCCCGGGGCGACUUCCCUCCUCAGAGAGGGACGGCGCGGUGCGGCUGGGCUCAGCGCGUAGGGAGAGCUAAGGGUCUGCUUCUGGAUGGCAGCCACGAGGUUCUCGGGUCCCCUGCCACUAUUUUAAGGGUUUCUCUUAAAUUCUGGGUGUGCUCACCUUGCAUCUCGUAGUGCGUGACUUAGGUGGAGGCAGGAACGUUGCCCCGUGGGAUGCUGGGGUUCGCAGUGUCACAGAGAGCAUCCCGAGUUGGGUGCACAGGGAUCAUCGAGUGCAGCUCCUGGCUCUGCACAGGAACAUCCAGAAUUCAGUCCCUGUGUCUGAGAGCGGUGUCGAGACGCUUCUUGAACCCACAGCCCUGGGCAGCCCGUUCCAUGCCCACCUCCCUCCGGUGCAGCCCCUGUCCCUGACCCCCAGCUGCCCCUCCCCUGACACAGCUCCAUGCCGUUCCCUCGGGCCCUGUCGCUGUCACACAGAGCAGAGCUCAGCGCUGCCCCUCCGCUCCCUGUGAGGAGCUGCAGACUCCAUGAGGCCUCCCCUCAGCUCCUCUGCUCUGCGCUGAGCCAACACAGGGAACUCAGCUGCUCCUCGUACCUCUUGUCCUCUGGACCCUUCCUCGUCUUUGUAGCUCUCCUUUGGAUGGGACAAAAGCAGCCCAGGUCAUACCGGUGAGAUUCCACUCCCCUCUCACCGAGUUCUUCUUUGUUUACAACAUUAUUCUGAAAAAGAAGACCAAGAAGUCUACGUAUGUGGCAGCAAAAGAAGCAAUAGGAUAUCAAGGAUGCUUCUAAAAGGAAAGAUUUUUUUCUGUGAGUUCAGACAGGCAUUGUCUGAAGAGCUCCUGGCACAUCUCAUUGUGGUUCAAACCUGGCUGUCCAGGUUUGCUACCGUUGUUAAUGUUACGUCCCAGACAGCCAAGAAGUGACUUCCAAGAAUUCUGGAUUUCUUCAAGGGAAAAAAAAUGACAAUGCAAAAUGCUAUGGCAAUCAUAUAAAGAUCAUCAAAGGAACAAGAGUUCCACCUUCAGGUCUGGGAAAAUACUACCUCUGAUGGCAAAAGAUACCUCAGAAAAAUUGUCAAGUGCAGAUGGAGUGGGACUCGCU
rnacentral:lncRNA from 1 species